rnacentral:snRNA from 1 species
CGGGCGAGAGACCGAUAGC